UAUGAAUAGUUUUUAUCUUGCAAAUUCUGUUUUGUUUCCAGUUCUCUCUCUCAUCUUGCUGAGGUGGGGGAGUAAGCGAACAGCUGUGUUGUGCUGAGCUGCUGCUAAGUUAAAGCUACUGGGCCCCACUACUACUUCUGCAUAUCAUGUUGGAGAGAGUCUGGUGCCUCUGCUCCUCCAUCCUUUCCUUCCUGGAUGUUCGUGUGGGACCUUGGUGACAGCAGACAGAAUUGGAGAUAAUGAGCACUGUGUGGAACAGCAAUGCUUGAGUUCAGCUCUGCCUUGUGAGAAAUAGAGCAAGAGGCUGGUGGAGGAUGGGGAAUUGAAAAUGGUCUCAAAGGAAGUUGAAGUGGGGGGAGAGAAUGGAGAAAGGAUGCCCAGCUGAUAGACAGCACCUCUACCUUGCAGAAGAUUCAUUCCACUGCACAUUUUGAAUCUGCUGACAAGAAACUUGCAGUGCAAGUAAUCAGAGCCUUCACAAGAUUGAUUUUUGUCCCCUGCUGGUAUAUGGCAUACUGGGGGGAAAAAUGUUCUCAUCUCUCAGUGUAAUCUUAACUAUUUAGAAGCCAUUAUUGCAGGAUUACAAAUCACUUGUACCUUUCUUGUGCAACUUCGUUAUUUAUUAGCAAGUCCAGCAAAUUAGUCAGGUAAUAUUAUAUAGGGUUCCAGUCCUGAAGCUCUGUCUCACGUGUGUUGCUGGAUUGUUUCCUCAAUUUGCAAAUGCUAGUAAAUCUAUGAAGUUCCAUAAGCAAUACUACAUAUUGCUGAGUGCAAA